CUCGGCCGCCCUGCCCAGCUGCCUGCCCCCGGAGGUGCCCACGCAGCUGCCUGGACAACCUAUGUCCUUAUGGGAAUGGUGAGGAGGCCUGGCCAUCUUGAGGCAACAGGCUGCCCCACCUCCAUCCCUGCUGUGCCUACUGAGUCCAAAAGCUGAAGAACUUGGAGUCCAGUGUUUGAAGGCAGGAAGCAUCCAGCAUGGGAGAAAGAUGGAGGCUGGAAGACUCAGCCCUGAAUGAGAGGAAAGAGCAGAGGGUGGGCAAGUGAGAAAUAAAGCAAGAUGGAAGCACUGGAGAGAGGAGCUGUAGCCAUAUCAGACCAACCUUGUUCAGUUUUUAGUGAACAAAGUUACGAGUUGUUUUUCAGUUGCUGUGGACCCCCAGAUUGAAGUUCAAGUAACGUGAGCAUGCCCAGGUGAACCAAUCGUGCAACCACGGGUGGAACCUAAGUGCUCAGACUGAGCAGUGGGGACUGAAUUAAGGAGCGAACACUGCAGGCAGGAUCCAGGAUCCAAUCAGAUUGGACCCUGGUGCCACCCCAUGGCAGGAUUCAGUCAGAUCAUGCCUCCCAGUAUCAUCUCAUCGCAAGAUCCAAUCACAUCAUGCCUCAUUACCCUAUGCUUAUAAAACCCAUUGCAGCCCCCAGCUCACGGAGACAGAGCAGAGAGCUUCCUCCUCUCUCCUUGUGAGUUGACUCACAAUACAUCUUUCUCACUGCGAAAAUCCAGUGCUUCAGCGUUAUAUUUGUUAAGGUGGAUUUUAUGACCCAGAAUAUGAUCUGUCUUGAUGAAUGUUCCAUGUGAGCUUGAGAAGAUUGUGUAUUUUGCUGUUGUUGAAAGGAUUAUUAAUAAAUGUCAAUUAGAUUCUG
rnacentral:lncRNA from 10 species